rnacentral:rRNA from 1 species
UAUGUGAUCGUCUCUCGCAUAUCAAUAAGCGGAGGAAAAGAAACUAACAAGGAUUCCCCUAGUAACGGCGAGUGAAGCGGGAAGAGCUCAAAUUUGAAAUCUUAAAGGGUUUCCCUUUACGAAUUGUAGUUUAAAGAAGUGUUUUCUGUUGAGGUUUUGGUAAAAGUUCUUUGGAAUAGGACAUCAUAGAGGGUGAGAAUCCCGUAUUUGACCUUUACUUUCAACUUUGUGAUACACUUUCAAAGAGUCGGAUUGUUUGGGAAUGCAGUCCAAAAUGGGUGGUAAAUUUCAUCUAAAGCUAAAUAUUGGCGAGAGACCGAUAGCGAACAAGUACCGUGAGGGAAAGAUGAAAAGAACUUUGAAAAGAGAGUUAAGCAGUACGUGAAAUUGUCAAAAGGGAAGCGUUUGACACCAGUGUUGUUUUUCUGAAAAUCAAUUAAAGAACUGUUUAUGCUAAGUUGUUUAGACUUUAUCAGCUAACUGUUUAGUUUUGAGCUUUUCUUUAAUGCACUUUUCAGUUAACAAGUCAACAUCAAUUUCUUUUGCUGUAAAAAAGCUUGAGGGAGGUGGCUUGAGAUUCGUCUUAAGUGUUUAUAGCCUCUUGCCUAUGCAGUCGGAGAGAUUGAGGUCUGCAGCGUAGAUCCUUCGGGGCUAAAUGCAUUUGUGCUAAGUUAUAGCAUUUUAUAGACAACUUGUUGACUAUGAUUUGUCUUGUAGCUUACUCGCUUAUGUUAUUUUACCUACGCUUAGGAUGUUGAGUAGCGACAUACGCAC